AGAGUUUGAUCCUGGCUCAGAUUGAACGCUGGCGGCAUGCCUAACACAUGCAAGUCGAACGCGAAAUCACCUUCGGGUGAAAGUAGAGUGGCGGACGGGUGAGUAACGCGUGGGAAUCUGCCCAGUAGUGGGGGAUAACUCGAGGAAACUCGAGUUAAUACCGCAUACGCCCUAUGGGGGAAAGGCUUCGGCCGCUAUUGGAUGAGCCCGCGUCAGAUUAGUUAGUUGGUAGGGUAAAGGCCUACCAAGGCAACGAUCUGUAGCUGGUCUGAGAGGACGAACAGCCACACUGGGACUGAGACACGGCCCAGACUCCUACGGGAGGCAGCAGUGGGGAAUAUUGGACAAUGGGCGAAAGCCUGAUCCAGCAAUGCCGCGUGUGUGAAGAAGGCCUGUGGGUUGUAAAGCACUUUCAGUUGGGAAGAUGAUGAUGUUAUUGACAGAAGAAGCACCGGCUAACUCCGUGCCAGUAGUUGUGGUAAUACGGAGGGUGCAAGCGUUAAUCGGAAUUACUGGGCGUAAAGCGCGCGUAGGCGGCUAAGUCAGUCAGAUGUGAAAGCCUUGGGUUUAACCUGGGAAUUGCAUUUGAUACUGCUUGGCUAGAGUAUGGUAGAGGGAAGUGGAAUUUUAGGUGUAGUGGUGAAAUGUGUAGAUAUUUGGAGGAAUAUUAGUGGUGAAGGUGAUUUCCUGGACCAAUACUGACGCUGAGGUGCGAAAGCGUGGGUAGUAAAUAGGAUUGGAUAUUUUGGUAGUCCACGCUGUAAACGAUGUCAACUAGCCGUUGGAUCCAUUUAAGGGUUUGGUGGCGCAGUUAACGCGAUAAGUUGACCGCCUGGGGAGUACGGCCGCAAGGUUAAAACUCAAAGGAAUUGACGGGGGCCCGUACAAGCGGUGGAGCAUGUGGUUUAAUUUGAUGCAAUGUGAAGAAUUUUACCAGCCCUUGACAUCCUCGGAACUUUCCAGAAAUGGAUUGGUGCCUUCGGGAACCGAGUGACAGGUGCUGCAUGGCUGUCGUCAGCUCGUGUUGUGAGAUGUUGGGUUAAGUCUCGUAAUGAGCGUAACCCUUGUCCUUAGUUGCCAGCAUAUAAUGGUGGGAAUUUUAAGGAGACUGCCGGUGAUAAACCGGAGGAAGGUGGGGAUGACGUCAAGUCAUCAUGGCCCUUAUGGGCUGGGCUACACACGUGCUACAAUGGCCGGUAUAGAGGGUUGUAAAUCCGUGAGGGGGAGUUAAUCUUAUAAAACCGGUCGUAGUCCGGAUCGCAGUCUGCAAUUUGACUGCGUGAAGUCGGAAUCGCUAGUAAUCGCAGAUCAGAAUGUUGUGGUGAAUAUGUUCCCGGGCCUUGUACACACCGCCCGUCACACCAUGGGAGUGGGUUGCAAAAGAAGUGGGUAGCCUAACCUUUGGGAGGGCGCUCACCAUUUUGUGAUUCAUGACUGGGGUGAAGUCGUAACAAGGUA
rnacentral:rRNA from 1 species